AGCCCUAAUAAAACUCUGAGACUAUUUUCUAUCACAAUGACAGCUGAUGAAUUUAAUGUGCCUCACAAACUAUAGGAAUUGUGAUAGGAAGCUGACUCUGUCCUAGAGGCCACUGACAAACCUGAUAAGGCUGUAGCAGGGGUCAGUCUCUAUAGGAAACUUGGGCUAUAUGAGCAUGUAUGAGUUCUGUGGUUAAGAAUCUGAAGCACUCAGUAUAGCAAACAAAAUUCCAAAGCUGAGUACCAAUGUAAUACGCUGGAUCGCUGUACCUACUUGGACAAGAGUACAUGCAACAGGCACAUACAAUAUACAUCUGGUUAAAUGUAAAAUCAUCCAUUGCUAAAGCAUUUUAAACUUCUAGGAGAAAUCUACUGGCAAUGUGUUAACAGCAAGGACAACCAAAACAAUAAAAUAACAUCUCUUUCCUAAAAUUUAAGAACAUCAAGUAAGUGCCCCUUAGGCUGGGUUGUGAUUCCUGGAAGUUUCAGCCUAUGAGAACCAUAUUGGCGACAUCAAAGACUCCCCCUCUUUCCAAAAAGCAAUUCACUUCAGAUGCUGCCACACAAUCGAAUGCUUUUAUGGCCACCAUGUUUUUUUGGUUUUUGUUUCGUCUUUUGUUUUUUCCAUGCUUAAUGAACAUGCCAGAUUCUUGAAAUAGAAAGAAGAUGAGAAAACCCAGUAAGAUGGAAUACCUCUAGAAAAGAAACUAGGCAGGGACCUGAUGGUAAAGGAUAAAAACACAUUCCAACAGGAAUUCUACUUUUAGGGAGAGUAUGAGUUAUUAAGAAGGAUGUGGAAGGCACAUUUUGGCUAUGAAAGCUGGUCCGUGGACUCCUCUGCCAGUCUCACAUCAGACAGGAUGCAACCAUCCCCACUCCAUUCCUUCGACAACUUCCCAGAGCACAUUCAAUCAGUGUCCCUUAAAUUGAGGACAAUACUAUAUUUGGGUUUAAUACUGUGAGGACAGUCAUUUAGUUUUCCUGUGGCAGGAUGAUAAAUUUCCUGGGAACCAAAUAAGGAUUCUCAUUGCAUUCUUCUGCUUGAUACUAUGAAUGCAGAAGAAUAAAGAAGAGGGUGUGACAAAUCAUAUUUUCCAAAGGUCGGGUGUGGGGAGGUUCCCUAACGUUUAAAAGCAACCAGUUGUUAGCAAAGUGAUCUUUAGAACAGUAUUAGCAAGAAUGUUUGCUCUACAUCCACUAUAGAUAUUCUCUCCUGCUUAGCUAGGCAUGUAAGUACUGUGAGCAUAAUGUAAAUACUCAGAACAGAAAUGCAUGGAAAGCUGGUGGAGUGAAACUCCAAAUGAACAAUUAAUUCCACUUUCACUUCCCCCAUCUACCUCCCUGAAUACUACCUCCCUGCCCCCACUCACCUAUCUUCCUCCCCCCAACAAGCAUGUUUGCUAGGCAUGUCAAGGCUGACAUCCAUCGGUGGCAGUAUGAAACCUAUGCCUACAGGCUGCUCCUGAGCAUAGCCUCAAGGCUCUGCCAUUGUCCGUAGAGUGCUCUAAGUUGUGCCCGCUAAAAAUCUUCAUCAUUCCAUUUGACUGUUUGGUAGUAUUUCUUUAAUUGUAUUUUUUGUUUGUUUGUUUUAAAAACACCCUUUAUUUCCUGCUUGCCUUAGAGACACCAAGAAUAAAAUCCUUGACACAUCAAAUUCUGGAACCUCACCACUCACCAGGACUAUGGUUCCUGAUCCAAGGAGUGACGACUGAGAAUCAGCACACAGUCUCUUGAGGGUGUCCAGGCCUGGCUGUUAAGCUCCCUGCUCUGAUUAGUUUGUCGAGUUCACAGUGUUCCAGAGUGCUGAAGCACAGAAAUUAGGGAGGGGAGGUGGAAGGAAAAUCACUGGAGCCUCUUACGAUCUAACUUCCACUAACUGGGAGGAAAUGUCUUAUAAAUAAACAACAGUAAGAGAAACAAAAAAAAAAAAAA
rnacentral:lncRNA from 10 species